ACCGAGGAAUGUCUUCGAGUGCUAUUAGUGGAAGCAUAUCAUCUGCACAAACAGGCAUGACCCCGCGCCGGAGUCUUGCAAGAGCAGGGCUAUUUUGAGCUUUUGACAGUGAGGAUGAAGGGAGACAAAUGACGGCCUGAUCCUCCUGGCAUGGGCAACCUCCAAAGCUCUCUGAGGCCUUGUCUCCUCCUCCGGGAAUGACUCUUUUGAAGGCUGAUGGGUGAUUUGGUGGGACCUCAGAGCCCAGGAGGCGGCGGCCAGGAGGGAGGUAUGAAUUUGCCAGGGACACAAGGCCAGGCCUCAGUCCCAUCAGCACUGCCCAGCCGUGCUUAUGGCAAGUCCUGCCUGAGGGUGUGCACCUGUCCCUGAGCUUAGGGCACACAUCUGCCUGCUUUAUUUUCAACCAUAUGAAAGCCAGAGAGAUACGAGAGGGUGUGUAACCGCGUGCAAGUGAAACACACAGGAAGCUAGAGGAAGAAAUGGUUGACUUACUUUGCAAAACAGAGUCUACAGAAGGCUACGACAGCACUGACAGAGGUUCUGCUCACCAAUGCUCGCUAGUGACGCUGGAAGCAGGCUGCACUUCCUUCUGAGAGCUGGUGUGCUGGUGAGGCUGCACUUGGGAGCCAGGGCCUGGAGUCCGCUGGGACAAGAAGCAAACCACAGCACAGCCAGAAUAGGCAGAAAGAGAAAUCCCUGGAUACAGAUGGUCCUGCACAGACACACAGUGUGGGGAAAGUGUUGGAGUGAUGACUUCCAGGCAUGCUGAAAACAGAUCCCGUCCCACUUACUCUAACAUCAGCGGAAGAGAUCUGGGCGGUAGAUUCUGGCCAAGGAGGUGACAUUCAGGAUGCCCUUUCUAUCACCCACCAAAGCAGCUGAGGGGCUCCUGUUACAGAGCAGACAGCACUGACAGAGGUUCUGCUCACCAAUGCUCGCUAGUGACGCUGGAAGCAGGCUGCACUUCCUUCUGAGAGCUGGUGUGCUGGUGAGGCUGCACUUGGGAGCCAGAUUCUGCACUCUUCAGCAAGGGCUUGAUCUUGAAGAACAGCUUCAUCCAGGGCCAGUGCUUGACAUUCAUGAAUGCACGAAUAUUAUACUGGAUGCAAAAGAUGGACUCUCUGAAAGGAAGCCCCUGCACCUGGCUUGUGUGCGGGUGAUGAGCUGUGCCAGCUUCUCAUCCCUCAUCUCCUCCAGGAGGCCUAUCAGCCCAGCUUUGAAGAACACCUUAGGGCUGGACUCCACUGGGACCAGAAGGAAACCACGGCACAGCUAAAAGAGAAGAGGCAGACUGAAAGCCAUCUCUGGAUACAGACUGUCCUGCACGGCGAUGUGGUGUCAGCAAGGCACACAUUCCCCAUGGAGGAGAAAGGAUUCAGUCGUGCUGAAAAUAGAUCCUCCUUGAGACAGAGAUCAGGCAGCUGCCUCCCUUUCUGCCAGCCCUUAAGAUGCAUAUUUUCUUCUCUUGGUCCCUGUGGUUAGUUGAGAGACAAGGAGUAAGAAGGUAUUUUUUAGCUAGGCAGCACAGCCGGACUGGAGAGGGGAAGUGGAAGUGCUUACAGACUGCUGUAUGCUGGCUAGUGAGAACCUCCCUCUCAUGCAUGUUCAGGGUUGUCAAGCUCAUGAACUGGAAACAAGAGAAUGUACCUGCAUGGCAGGAGGUUUAGCAGUAGGAAAAGGAAUCAUUUACUGUAGUCUGGUGAUGCCCAGUCUUUCACCCUGGGAACUACUCUCAGGCCCUCUGCUCCUCUACCUAGAACAGACUGCCCUUCAAGAGGAAGGACUUUGGGGUUAUGGUGGAUAUAAAUAUGAGUGCUCUCACUGUAAACAGGAUGAGCCAAGUACCAAGUGGUGUUAGAAUUGUGGUCAGCUGAUUGUAGGAAGCUAUUAUCCCUUUUUCUUGACAGUGGUGAGUCCUCAUCUGAAACGGUUUGUCCAGGUUUAGGCUCCCCAGUUCAAAAAGGAUGUGAACUAAUGGGAGAGGGUCCAGCAGAAGGCUAGCAAGAUGGGCAAGGGUCUGGAAAGCUUGUGCUAUGAAAAGAGUUUGAGGGCAUGUUUAGUCUGAGGAAAAAAGGCCUAAUGUACAUGAGGGGCAGUUACAAAGACAAUGAUGUGCCAAGCUUUUUUCAUGAGUAGCAGACAAUGUAACAAGGAGCAAUGACCACAGAUUGUUGCUUGAAAGUCUCCAGUUAGACAUUAGGAAAAUUUUUUACUAUUGGGUAAUGCGUAAAUGGCACAGGCUACCCAGAGAUGUUGUGAAGCCUCUGUCCAAAAAGCUUGGCUAAUCAAAGCCAUGACUGAUUUGACCAACAUUGGCAAUAGAUCUGCUUGAAGUGGGAGACUGAACUAAAGACCUCCAGAUGUUCCUUUGCAACAGCAUGUCUGUGGCUUUAAUGUAGAGGUUUCCUCUAUCCAUCCAAAGUAGACAAUUGCUCAAACCUAAGCAGAGAAGGUAUCUGCAGGUUCAUGUCUUGUGCUAAGAAACAGAAAUUUUCCUGGAGUCCUGAAAAACAGCUUUUCUCGAGUGGACCACUGGGCAUGAAUCUUUGCUCUCACUGCAUUGUUGGAGACAGUUAAUUCCAUGCAACCUGUCAAAGCAUAUCCCUCCAGAACACCAGUUCCGGAAUACCGCUUCUGAAGUAUGUCAUCUGGAAAUGUCCUCAGCAGCAGUAGGUUUUGGUAGCUUUCAGUCCUUGAAGAACCACGUGACAUGUAGGCAGAGUCAGAGAACUGUGGAGCUCACUGGGGCAGCAAGGUGCAUCACAUCACAUCAGAAAGAAGUUCCAUCAGGUGAGGAGCAACAGGGCAGGCAGAGUACAGGAGGGUCCUCUUGUUAUCACAGGCUGGACACAUUCACGGUGGUAACUGUAUGCUGGUAAGCAUUUCCCUGGCAUCAUUACAGGAAUUUAGGGAUCCGGUACAAACCUUUUUCAUCCUGAGCCACUAGGUACCAGUUGUCAGAAAAUAUGUGCAUGAUAUAGUGAACAGCAGCUAACAUCACCACUGUGUGUUAUUUCUGACCAUAACAUAACAUUGAAGGAAAUAAGAUUACAUGAUGUCCCUGCCAGUGGCAGAGGUGUUGGACUACAUGAUCUUUAAAGGUCCCUUCCAACCCAAACCAUUCUGUGAUUCUGUGAAUGGCUAUACUGGGUGAGAUCAAAGGAACAUGUAGACUCUCACACCUGAGACAUUUCUCAUCAUCCCAAUCUCCCCAGAUACCCACCCUCCACGUGAUGUCCUACCCAUGUGGUGAAGCCUGCUAGAGCACAAACCACCUCAAGUUGGUGAAAAAAGUCAUGUGACUAGAGCAAAACUAAAUAAGGCACACGUAGGAAACCGUACUGAAAACAGCAAUGCAUUUUCUGUGUCACUGCCAAUAAUGGGAGACAGAAGCACAAGCACAUUCCCACUAUCUCUAUAUGAAGUCUAAGAAGCCUUUGCCCUUCUCAGGACUCAGUGACUUACUUGUCCUCCUGCAUGGAGCCUGUAAUAUUCACAGGAUACAGCAGACAUCCCCUUUAACAGGGAUUCCCUUGCACACCGUGCUAGUGAGCUCUGGGAGGCUGGAGGAGCUCAGAACUGCUCAGCUUCUGCUCCAGUAGGAAACCUCCUCCUGUGGGUCGAUGGCCUGGAGAGCAGGCUCAGGUGCCUACUCAAAUAGCAGUGUCUCCUGUGCCUGGGGACAGGUCACUUCAGCUGCUCCUCCUCAGGUGUUCAGGCUCCCUGACACCCCAACCAGGAAUUGGGAGGUGCUCAGGACUACCGAAGGGACCAGGAAUGUCUGCAUGGAUGUGCUACUCCUCUGAGCACACGUCAGAGCUAAGGUGAAAUGAAGUCAACCCUGCAUGUGGUAGGUAAUUACUGGUGAUUACUCCGCCCUGCUUCAGCCUCAUCAGCUUGCUAGGUGACUAGUCUCCAGCAGUCACUGUAUUUACAGUCACUGUUAAUAUUCCAUAACAUAGAAUUUAUAUACA